AAUUUAAAAUUGAGGACGAUAAGUCUUGGUUUGAUUGUGAAACUUGUCACAUUUAGAAAAAAGAGGUUAUCACUCAAUGAAAAAUUGACCAAGGCUUUAGAACCAACGUUACCUUCACUAUUCAUUCAACAAAAUUUAAAAGAUCCUUGAACGUACCGUACAAAAAGUACAAAUUUGUUGAAAGGGAAUCAAAUAGAAAAAGUCAC
rnacentral:lncRNA from 1 species